UACACACCGCCGUCGCUACUACCGAUUGAAUUAUUUAGUGAGGUCUCCGGACGUGAUCACUGUGCGCCUUGCGUGUUACGGUUGUUUCGCAAAAGUUGACCGAACUUGAUUAUUUAGAGGAAGUAAAAGUCGUAACAAGGUUCCGUAGGUGAACCUGCGGAAGGAUCACUAUUGUAUAAUAUCCUUACCGUUAAUAAACAUUUGUAAUAAUACAAAUAAAA
rnacentral:rRNA from 1 species